GCGCGGACAGGCAGGGCGGUGGCGGUGGCGGUGGCGGCAGCAGCGGCACCCCCGCCCUGGCAGGCGCCGCAGUCCCAGCCUGCACGGCUGAGUGCCAGGGAAACCCCGAGCCUCCCAUUCACCCACGGUUUUCUCACAGCAGCGGAGCGAGGAGCGCCGCCGCUCAGCCUCCCGGUGGUGAAUGAGACCGCUUGUGUUUCGUGCGGGAAGUGCUGAUUUAUUUGUUCACUUACUGACUUAUUAAAAGCUCAAUAUUACGGCAGCGUGUUUUCCCGCUGCCCCGAUAAACAGCAGUCCCGUGGAGAUGUGUCGGCAAUACAGAGCAUUCCUUCCAACUGCUUUCCGAGCAGCAUCCAAAGCCCAUCCAGCACUGGAGCUGGAGAGCAGCAGCCCGCACUACAAUCCCUCAGCGCGGCGCCGCAGCUCCUGGGCAGAGGGUGGUGGUCAGAGCACUCCCUGACAGCCACAUCCACCCACCACCAGCCCCCGCCCUCCACCCCCCUCGGCAGGGCUCCAUCUAUUGGCACUUACACUUUGAAGUAUCUCCUGAGUAUCAAGGAAUCUAUAUUCCCUAUUGAAGUCUCUAAGGAUGAGUGAUGCCUAUCCUAAUGGCAGAAUCUUCUCCUAAGAAUUCAUACUUUCAUCAGUUGGAAGACUGAAGGGACAGAGGUUGACUCUUCAGAGAGAAUUUCCUAUUUUUUUAAGCUUGCCUAGCCCAGACAAGAAAAAUACUGUUCAGACUAAUGGAGAUGUCAGUCUGAGCUCUGAGAUUCUUAAAACAUCUCUGGCCUCAACUCCAGGAGAAGGUUCUGAUCAGUAGUCUGCUUAGAAGACAACAUUCUUUAUUUUUCCUGGGAAAUUGAGUGCAAAACUAAAGCCAACAGGCUUUAUGAUUUAGAGCACUUUCACCAAGGAAUGGAGAGAUGUUGAUUUUCCUCUUCUCCUGAGGCAAAGACCCUUUAACGUGAAUGGCAGAAACACAAACUAGAACCGGACAUGCCCAUCUUUAUGUGACAAUCUGCUAGAUUGGAGCUAUAUUUUCUCUUGCACUCAGCACUGCUGAUUUGCAUCAAGCUACAAUCUGAGGAACAGUGCAGAGAAUACAGGCCUAAAACUGUCCUGUGAUGAGAUUAGCUACUAUUCAUGCUUCCAGGAUGCCUGUUGGACAGAAACACUUGGGAAGACUAAAGAUACAGAUUGAUCUGAACACCAAGGAAGUGAGUACUGAUACCAGACCAUUUUCAUUUUGCUCAGCUGGACAAGGUAUCAACUGGUGUGGGUGAGAGAAGAAAAGGAGGCAGAGGCUGCUGCUGUUUCACCUACAGUACUGCAUAUAUUUGCCUUUGAUGUUGUCUCAAUUCUGCUGGCAGGUUUAGUAUUAAUAUUUUCAGAAGAGAGUAAGCACCAAGAUCUUAUUAUGCCAAUCCCUUUUUUCCCAAGAAAACACACUUUGAAACCUGUUCACAAGCAUCUACAGCAUAUGCAAGAAAAUAUUAACAGAUAUACAAUAUAAAUAUAUUUUUUGCUAUAACUUAUCAGAAAAUCUAAGUAAAUAAUAUUUUAUAACUUGCAUCUGGCUAGGACUAUAUUACUAGAAGACAAUGUAAGAAGACAA